GGCCUAGUAGCUCAGUUGACUAGAGCGUUGGGUGUACUAAAGCCUUUCCUUUGCUGGUGUGGAUUUGAAUCCCACCGAGGCCA
rnacentral:tRNA from 1 species